rnacentral:tRNA from 1 species
GAUCGUGUGGCCUAAUGGAUAAGGCGUCGGACUUCUAAUUAGAGUGGCAAUCCGAAAAUUGCGGGUUCGACUCCCGCCACGAUUA